rfam:Myotis davidii contig232499, whole genome shotgun sequence.
UCCCGUGUUGCUCAAUGGUUAGAGCAUUAGCCAGGCACACCAAAGGAUCUUGGGUUCAAUUCCCAAUCAAGGGAA